rnacentral:rRNA from 1 species
GACGUCGGGCGCGAGCGUUGUCCGGAUUUAUUGGGCGUAAAGAGCUCGUAGGCGGUCUGUUGCGUCCGCUGUGAAAACUCGGGGCUUAACCCCGAGCCUGCAGUGGAUACGGGCAGACUAGAGGUAGGUAGGGGAGAAUGGAAUUCCCGGUGUAGCGGUGAAAUGCGCAGAUAUCGGGAGGAACACCGGUGGCGAAGGCGGUUCUCUGGGCCUUACCUGACGCUGAGGAGCGAAAGCGUGGGGAGCGAACAGG